rnacentral:rRNA from 1 species
UGGGGAAUUUUGGACAAUGGGCGAAAGCCUGAUCCAGCAAUGCCGCGUGUGUGAAGAAGGCCUUCGGGUUGUAAAGCACUUUUUGUCCGGAAAGAAAUCCUUGGCUCUAAUACAGUCGGGGGAUGACGGUACCGGAAGAAUAAGCACCGGCUAACUACGUGCCAGCAGCCGCGGUAAUACGUAGGGUGCAAGCGUUAAUCGGAAUUACUGGGCGUAAAGCGUGCGCAGGCGGUUUGCUAAGACCGAUNUGAAAUCCCCGGGCUCAACCUGGGAACUGCAUUGGUGACUGGCAGGCUAGAGUAUGGCAGAGGGGGGUAGAAUUCCACGUGUAGCAGUGAAAUGCGUAGAGAUGUGGAGGAAUACCGAUGGCGAAGGCAGCCCCCUGGGCCAAUACUGACGCUCAUGCACG